rnacentral:tRNA from 1 species
GCUCCUGUGUCGAAAUUGGCAAACGAAGUAGACUCAAAAUCUACCGGCAGUGAUGUCUUAAGGGUUCAAGUCCCUUUGGGAGCACCA